rnacentral:rRNA from 1 species
AGAGUUUGAUCCUGGCUCAGAUUGAACGCUGGCGGCAUGCCUUACACAUGCAAGUCGAACGGCAGCACGAGAGCUUGCUCUUGGUGGCGAGUGGCGAACGGGUGAGUAAUAUAUCGGAACGUACCCUAGAGUGGGGGAUAACGUAGCGAAAGUUACGCUAAUACCGCAUACGAUCUACGGAUGAAAGUGGGGGAUCGCAAGACCUCAUGCUCAUGGAGCGGCCGAUAUCUGAUUAGCUAGUUGGUGGGAUAAAAGCUCACCAAGGCGACGAUCAGUAGCUGGUCUGAGAGGACGACCAGCCACACUGGAACUGAGACACGGUCCAGACUCCUACGGGAGGCAGCAGUGGGGAAUUUUGGACAAUGGGCGCAAGCCUGAUCCAGCAAUGCCGCGUGAGUGAAGAAGGCCUUCGGGUUGUAAAGCUCUUUUGUCGGGGAAGAAACGGUGGACUCUAAUACAGAUCACUAAUGACGGUACCUGAAGAAUAAGCACCGGCUAACUACGUGCCAGCAGCCGCGGUAAUACGUAGGGUGCAAGCGUUAAUCGGAAUUACUGGGCGUAAAGCGUGCGCAGGCGGUUGUGCAAGACAGAUGUGAAAUCCCCGGGCUCAACCUGGGAAUUGCAUUUGUGACUGCACGGCUAGAGUGUGUCAGAGGGGGGUAGAAUUCCACGUGUAGCAGUGAAAUGCGUAGAGAUGUGGAGGAAUACCGAUGGCGAAGGCAGCCCCCUGGGAUAACACUGACGCUCAUGCACGAAAGCGUGGGGAGCAAACAGGAUUAGAUACCCUGGUAGUCCACGCCCUAAACGAUGUCUACUAGUUGUCGGGUCUUAAUUGACUUGGUAACGCAGCUAACGCGUGAAGUAGACCGCCUGGGGAGUACGGUCGCAAGAUUAAAACUCAAAGGAAUUGACGGGGACCCGCACAAGCGGUGGAUGAUGUGGAUUAAUUCGAUGCAACGCGAAAAACCUUACCUACCCUUGACAUGUCUGGAAUCCUUGAGAGAUCAGGGAGUGCUCGAAAGAGAAUCAGAACACAGGUGCUGCAUGGCUGUCGUCAGCUCGUGUCGUGAGAUGUUGGGUUAAGUCCCGCAACGAGCGCAACCCUUGUCAUUAGUUGCUACGAAAGGGCACUCUAAUGAGACUGCCGGUGACAAACCGGAGGAAGGUGGGGAUGACGUCAAGUCCUCAUGGCCCUUAUGGGUAGGGCUUCACACGUCAUACAAUGGUACAUACAGAGGGCCGCCAACCCGCGAGGGGGAGCUAAUCCCAGAAAGUGUAUCGUAGUCCGGAUUGUAGUCUGCAACUCGACUACAUGAAGUUGGAAUCGCUAGUAAUCACGGAUCAGCAUGUCGCGGUGAAUACGUUCCCGGGUCUUGUACACACCGCCCGUCACACCAUGGGAGCGGGUUUCACCAGAAGUGGGUAGCCUAACCGCAAGGAGGGCGCUCACCACGGUGGGAUUCGUGACUGGGGUGAAGUCGUAACAAGGUA